UUUUUGGUAGUUAAUAAUAAAAAUAUCUAUUUUGUAAUUAGGAGAAGAUGAUUUCGUCCCAAAAUU
rnacentral:tRNA from 2 species